rnacentral:rRNA from 1 species
UACGGGGGGGGGCAAGCGUUGUUCGGAAUUACUGGGCGUAAAGGGCUCGUAGGCGGCCAACUAAGUCAGACGUGAAAUCCCUCGGCUCAACCGGGGAACUGCGUGUGAUACUGGCGGGCUUGAAUUCGGGAGAGGGAUGUGGAAUUCCAGGUGUAGCGGUGAAAUGCGUAGAUAUCUGGAGGAACACCGGUGGCGAAGGCGGCAUCCUGGACCGAGAUUGACGCUGAGGCGCGAAAGCUAGGGUAGCAAACGGG